rnacentral:rRNA from 1 species
GAUGAACGCUGGCGGCGUGCUUAACACAUGCAAGUCGAACGAUGAAGCCCAGCUUGCUGGGUGGAUUAGUGGCGAACGGGUGAGUAACACGUUAGUAACCUGCCCUUAACUCUGUGAUAAGCCUGGGAAACUGGGUCUAAUACCGGAUAGGAGCGUCCACCGCAUGUUGGGUGUUGUAAAGUUUUAUCGUUUUUGGAUGGACUCGCGGCCUAUCAGCUUGUUGGUGAGGUAAUGGCUCACCAAGGCGACGACGGGUAUCCGGCCUGAGAGGGUGACCGGACACACUGGGACUGAGACACGGCACAGACUCCUACGGGAGGCAGCAGUGGGGAAUAUUGCACAAUGGGAGAAAGCCUGAUGAAGCGACGCAGCGUGAGGGAUGACGGCCUUCGGGUUGUAAACCUAUUUCAGUAGGGAAGAAGCGAAAGUGACGGUACCUGCAGAAGAAGCACCGGCUAACUACGUG